rnacentral:rRNA from 1 species
AUUGAACGCCGGCGGCAGGCCUAACACAUGCAAGUCGAGCGGGGUUUUCGGACCUAGCGGCGGACGGGUGAGUAAUGCGUAGGAAGCUACCCGAUAGAGGGGGAUACCAGUUGGAAACGACUGUUAAUACCGCAUAACGUCUACGGACCAAAGUGUGGGACCUUCGGGCCACAUGCUAUCGGAUGCGCCUACGUGGGAUUAGCUAGUUGGUGGGGUAAUGGCUCACCAAGGCGACGAUCCCUGGCGGGUUUGAGAGGAUGUUCAGCCACACUGGAACGGAGACACGGUCCGGAGUCCUACGGGAGGCAGCAGUGGGGAAUAUUGGGCAAUGGGCGCAAGCCUGAUCCGGCCAUGCCGCGUGUGUGAAGAAGGCCUUCGGGUUGUAAAGCACUUUCAGUAGGGAGGAAGAGUUGAGUGUUAAUAGUACUCAGCUUUGACGUUACCUACAGAAGAAGCACCGGCUAACUCUGUGCCAGCCGCCGCGGUAACAC